UACAGAGGUCUCAAGCGUUGUUCGGAUUCAUUGGGCGUAAAGGGUGCGUAGGUGGUUAGGUAAGUCGGAUGUGAAAUCCCGGGGCUCAACCUCGGAACUGCAUUCGAUACUGCCUGACUGGAGUACUGGAGAGGAGAUUGGAAUUUACGGUGUAGCAGUGAAAUGCGUAGAUAUCGUAAGGAAGACCAGUGGCGAAGGCGGAUCUCUGGACAGUUACUGACA
rnacentral:rRNA from 1 species